rnacentral:rRNA from 1 species
AGUAACACGUGGAUAACCUACCUAUAAGGCUGGGAUAACUUCGGGAAACCGGAGCUAAUACCGGAUAAUAUUUUGAACCGCAUGGUUCAAAAGUGAAAGACGGUCUUGCUGUCACUUAUAGAUGGAUCCGCGCUGCAUUAGCUAGUUGGUAAGGUAACGGCUUACCAAGGCAACGAUGCAUAGCCGACCUGAGAGGGUGAUCGGCCACACUGGAACUGAGACACGGUCCAG